UAAAGAUAUCUAAAAUAAUUCACUUGAAACGAAACACUCAGAUUCGCUUUUAGACUAUCGAUUCAACCGUGGAACAAAGUACAAUAUCGGGUGUGUGGUUGCUUCCUUCCUUCGUUGAAACGAAACACUCAGAUUCGCUUUUAGAUUAUCGAUUCACAAUUGUCUUCAACUCAAUAGAGAGGUUGGAGCCGACGAGGCGAAGCAGGUGAUUGGUUGAAGAUGAAGAGGGACAGGCUCAAUGACUUGCCCAAUGAAAUUCUGCUUCAUAUAUUGUCAUUUCUUAUGAUAGAAGAUGUUGUUAAGACCAGCAUUUUGUCGAAACGGUGGAAGAAUCUUUGGAAAUACCUCCCUGAUCUUAAAUUGCAUACUUCUGAAUUCAGCAACCCGUAUCUUUUCUCGGAAUGUGUGUCUGGGGUCGUGUCAUCUCGUAGUAUGGGAAAUCAUCCCUUACGCACUCUUGACUUUGAUCGUCAUGGUUGUUUUCAACAUAAGAUAUUCACUGAACUCGUAAAACAUGCCAUGUCUAAUGGUCUUCAGAAACUGAGCAUAGUUGUUCCGUCUAAUAUUGGUUUGCCGUGUUCUAUUUUUUCUUGUCAUUCCUUGACCUCGAUUUAUAUUUCCGUUUCAAUGUAUGAUGUCAAAAAAAGAACUAGACUCCCUAAGCGUCUCGACCUUCCAGCUUUGAAAAGUAUGCAUCUCGACUUUGUUGGGAUUCAAGCUGAUGACAACGGUCAUGCUGAACCCUUCUCGACCUGUACUGAGUUAACUGAUCUUUACAUUGAUGAGUGUGUCUUAGUUUAUCCCAGCUCUGUCCCCCGAGAGGUGGAAGGAAUCCUUAAUAUAGCCAAUGCCACACUUUCCAAUUUGACCAUCAAGAAUACUUUAACUCACACAAAACUGAGACCUGUACCUACUUUCAAAUAUGUGAUAUCCACGCCAAAAAUUACUUCUUUUAUCGUAAAUGGUUCUCCUUUUCAGGAAUCGUCUUUACCAGAGAGAAUGAAAGUUGAGCUUUGUCUUUCUUAGUGACAAAAAAUCAAUACAAUCGCCUCCAAAUCUCUUCAGGUGACAAAAAGGUGGUUUUCAUUCAAUGAAAUGCCCUAAAGUGGAGCAGUGCAUCUGAUCUAACUGAGAGGUCUGUUGAUCAAGAGUAUAGUGAUUAGUAUGUAUCUCUGUAACUCUGUUAAUGUUAAGUGAGUGUCUUCAAUUAAAAGAAUACAGUGUUGUAGGAGUUGCGGUUGAUUAAUGUUGUUCUUGUGAAAGUAGUAUGGAUACCUUCAUUUUGUUUUAAAAUUUGGUCAAUUAUCUGUAUAUGUACACCCUUGUCAACAAUAAGGGAAUAAGGAUUCACCGGAGAACUUGGCCUAUCAAUCAUUUGAUGACAUAAAAAUUAUUCAUGUUGCAUAAA